rnacentral:tRNA from 1 species
GGAGGCGCAGGGCGAGCUGGUGCUGUCCCCGGACUUCAAAUCCGGUGUGGGGUGCGAAGAGCAUCCUGGGCGGGUUCGAUUCCCGUGCGCCUCCG